GCCGGCGGCGGGAGGAUGGGAGCGGGAGGCGGCGCGGCGCAGCGCGGCGCUGGGGCGUUCGGCUGCUCGGAGGCUUGAAGCCCAUUUCCCGCCUGGCGGCGGCGGCGGCGGAGCGCGGGGGCGGCGGGGAUGGAGCGGCAGAGCCCGGCUGCAGGGCGCUGCGCCGCGGGAGCCCAGGCUGGUGCGGAGCCCGGCGAGCUCCUCCAGCGAGCCCUGGAGUUCAAGAGCCAAGGGGCGCAGUGCUACAAGGACAAGAAAUUCCGCGAGGCCAUCGGCAAGUACCACCGGGCGCUGCUGGAGCUGAAGGGGCUGCAGCCGCCGGAGCCCAGCUCCUCCGCCAGCUGCGCCGCCAGCCCGCGGGGCCAGCUCACCGCGGAGCAGAGCCAGAGCGCGGAGAGCAUCGAGAUCGAUUGUUACAACAGCCUGGCAGCAUGUCUGCUCCAGGCCGAGCUGGUGAAUUAUGAGCGAGUCAAGGAGUAUUGCCUCAAAGUGCUUAAGAAGGAAGGAGAGAACUUCAAGGCACUCUAUCGAUCGGGUGUAGCUUUCUACCACCUUGGUGACUUCAACAAGGCACUGGACUAUUUGAAAGAAGCAAGGUCCCGACAGCCAACAGGUUCCAUCCCCAGCUGAUGUGGUAGAGCAGUCUGGGCAGGUCAUGAGGAGAGGAGAGGAGGUUGCACAAAGAAUCUUGGGCCUGGUGCACAGAAUACCAAUGUCAUACGGUAUAUCCAGCUGACCGAGAUGAAGCUUAGCAGAUGUUCCCAGAGGGAGAAAGAAGCCUUGUAAACAGGAACCUGCUUCAGUGACAAGGGGGACAUUUCCUUCCCAGUUGCUCAUUGGGUGGAUUUGUCCAUUUGCUUCACUCUGUCCCCAUCUCUCCAGCCUCCCUCGAGCACUCUUAAUUUAAUCCCAGUUUUAGAAGAGACUCAGACUCUGGGUUUGGCUGCUUGGCAGCACAGUGGUCAUAACCCAGACGCCUCAGUGGGAGAGCACAGUGGCUGCAGCCUGCCUGAUUCCAGGACAGUGGCAGAAGGUUGGAAGAAGCGAAGAGAGGCACAUCUUUAGCCUUGGACUGAGUGCUCACUGCAAUUCUGCACUGAAGAAAACAUCUCUGAGGCUAUGAUUUACCAACCAACAAACUGGAGACAAGCAUUUCCUACUGGUAGCGAUCACUGGAAUUCUACAGAGCCAGAAAACUAAGAGAGCUGUUGGCCACUUCAGGAGGGGAAGCAGAUUCCCCUUUCACCAGUUCCCUUGUGCCUUCCUCUCCGGCUCUGUAUUUUGAGGCCCUGUAGGAGUUCACGUACUCCAGAACCAAUGCCAAUUAAACCCAGUCUAAACAUCUUUUUAAUAAAAGCACAGAGCACCCUGUGAUACUCCUAAACAGCAGUCUCAAUGCUGGGGGAGUGAGUUCUGGGAGUGCUGUGGAACUCUGAAGGGUAUGAGGUGCACUGCACAGUACAGGGAUUAAACUGUGGAAUAAUUAUCUGCCAAUAAAAAUUGUGAAUGGUCAACAAUUCCACACAUUACUUUUAGAAGGGGUUCCUGGGUUCCUAAUCUCCAGAGAGGCAGCAUGGUCUAGAGAAAUAAGCAUGGGGCUGGGAGCCAGGAACACCUAAAUUCUUAUCUUAGCUCUGCCAAUGCCUUGCUGUGUGGCCUUGGGCAAGUCACUUUUCCUCUCUGUGCCUCAGUUUCCCCAUCUGUACAAUGGGGACAAUAGCACUUCCCUACCUCGCAGGGGUGUUGUGAGGAUUUAUUAGUUAAUGUUGUAAGUAAAAUUACAGUAAUGUACAGUGCUAAGUAUUAUUAGUACACUGGAUUGAGGUUGCAA